GUAUGCAUAUCACUAGAGUCCGACCAAAACUUUUGCCGAAACUGAACCGAAACACUCGGCUACGUGUCAAUUUCAAUCGAAACCGAAACCAAAAUUAAAAAAUAGCAAUCCUACAA